AUGGUGACAGGUUUCUUAAUACAACACACGCUACCUAUGCAUGUCAAAUUAUUCUCAGUUUUGAUCUUAUAUAGCCUAAUCCAAGGCAUUGUAAAUGGUACAAGUCUCUUCAACGCCUGUUCUUUCUCUUUUGCUUUUUUUAAUGUACUGUUCCAUCAGAGCUUUCCAGGUGUUUUCCGAGAGAGCGGAACCUUUGUGACUUCUCAGAGUGCAAUAUCCCCAACACUCAUCGCAGCAGGGAAAGUGGAGAGAGGAGACAGGCUAGCCCGCAGAGGAAGGUCUAUUUGGCUUUAUUAGAGAGCUCUACAAGCAAUACACCCAUGCAGGCAGAGUUCUUCAUGGUGCCCUUUCACUAGGGUUAGUAAAAGCUUGCCCUCCACUGCUAUUCAGUCAUUUCACAUUCCUAAAGAACGGAGUUGUGUUCAUAACUGCCAGAUCUUCUGUUGGUUCACAUCAAGAGCCCAGCACGGCCCACAACUGUCACUUAGAAGCACUGCUUUCCGCAUCACCAUGGGUCUGUUCGAAGCUGUAAGCAGAUUAAAGCCAGGGAUCUGUUUCUAAGAACCAGAACCGGCACGUCACUGCGGAGAUGAUGCUGUGGAGGAGCAGGGGUGAGAAGGGGAAGGAUGGUUUAGGAAAAACGAUGGCAGGAUUUUGAGCUGAUCUGUACCCGAAGCUGAAAUGUUGUGUUUCUGUUUCUUUUCUUCUCUUUUCAGCUUGCAAUGAACCUGUACUUGUUCCAUUGCAGACUAAAACCUUGCCUGGCUUCACAAGAAGUGUCCAUUGAAAUAUUUAUGCCGACUAGGUCUGUGAUUUUCACAGUACAGCUGUAUAAUAAAAACAUAGAAAGAUGGGGGACUGUCCGUGGGGUUAAGAGGUAACCGACCUGGGUCCAAUUGAUCCAGACCUCUGCUUCCCGACUGCAGCAAAAGGAAGGAGAGGACAUCUGUGGGGGCUUCCUGCUGGAUAAUGUGGGAUGCUUCCUGUCCUAUCACAGGAACAGGAAGUUAAUAAUUGAGUGGGGGAAAAAAAACUCAAAAUGAAUUUUUCAUCCACUCCUUUAUUUCCCUCCCGUUUUCUCUCCCUCCCCCCUAAAACAUUCUUGGUUUUGAAAUCCAAAUAAAAAUAGACAGCUUUUUGCAUUUGUUUUUUUUUUUCAUUUCCGAGGGCACACAUUUGAAUUUAGGUCAAGGCUUGGAGAAGCCAGAAAGAAA
rnacentral:lncRNA from 1 species